AUAUGAAUAUUUCAAAAAACAUUUUGAAUCUGCGCGUAGAAAUGAAAAUAAGAAGGUAAAAAAGAUUAGCUAGGCAAAAAAGUACAACUCGUCGAGUAAGCAAACAUUUGGACUACCCACAUAAAAAACAAAGAGAAAAGAGGGCAGAAAUAAAAAAAUUAGCUGGACAAGCAAGUGCAACCCGUCAAGUAAGCAAACAUUUGGAUGUUGCAGUUAUAUCCUACGGCCAUAAAAAAUUCAGAGAGCAAAAAGAGCGAGGAUGGGAUUUGAAUCAAAAAUUCAGAGAGCAAAGAGAGCGUGGAUGGGAUUCAAACCCAGGCAUGCCUAGCUAG
rnacentral:lncRNA from 1 species